AAACUUUCAACAACGGAUCUCUUGGUUCCGGCAUCGAUGAAGAACGCAGCGAACUGCGAUAAGUAGUGUGAAUUGCAGAAUUCAGUGAAUCAUCGAGUCUUUGAACGCACAUUGCGCCCCUUGGUAUUCCGAGGGGCAUGCCUGUCCGAGCGUCAUUG
rnacentral:rRNA from 1 species